rnacentral:rRNA from 1 species
UACGUAGGGUGCAAGCGUUGUCCGGAAUUAUUGGGCGUGAAGAGCUCGUAGGCGGUCUGUCGCGUCGGAUGUGAAAAUCCAGGGCUCAACCCUGGACCUGCAUUCGAUACGGGCAGACUAGAGUUCGGUAGGGGAGACUGGAAUUCCUGGUGUAGCGGUGAAAUGCGCAGAUAUCAGGAGGAACACCGAUGGCGAAGGCAGGUCUCUGGGCAUGAACUGACGCUGAGGAGCGAAAGCAUGGGGAGCGAACAGG